rnacentral:misc_RNA from 1 species
GUGAAUCAUCAAAUUUUUGAACGCAAAUUGCACUCUCUGGUAUUCCGGAGAGUAUGCCUGUUUGAGGGUCAGUUUAAAUAAAAAUCGGUGUGGUUGCUGCCUUUCGUGGUGACGCACCGGAUGUUGAUCGUUUUGGCUUUUAUUAAGUGACCUAGAAUUUUACGAAAUUUUUUGCGAACUGAUUUAAAUUAUUUUAUUUACGGUUGCGAUAUGGAAUACAAGAUUUAA